CCUACGGGAGGCAGCAGUGAGGAAUAUUGGUCAAUGGGCUUACGCCUGAACCAGCCAAGUCGCGUGAGGGAAGACUGCCCUAUGGGUUGUAAACCUCUUUUGUCAGGGAGCAACGCCGGCUACGUGUAGCCGGACUGAGAGUACCUGAAGAAAAAGCAUCGGCUAACUCCGUGCCAGCAGCCGCGGUAAUACGGAGGAUGCGAGCGUUAUCAGGAUUUAUUGGGUUUAAAGGGUGCGUAGGCGGAAUGCCAAGUCAGCGGUAAAAUCGCGGGGCUCAACCUCGCUCCGCCGGUGAAACUGGCGGUCUUGAGUGGGCGAGAAGUAUGCGGAAUGCGUGGUGUAGCGGUGAAAUGCAUAGAUAUCACGCAGAACCCCGAUUGCGAAGGCAGCAUACCGGCGCCCAACUGACGCUGAAGCACGAAAGCGUGGGUAUCGAACAGGAUUAGAUACCCGAGUAGUC
rnacentral:rRNA from 1 species